UACGUAGGGUGCAAGCGUUAAUCGGAAUUACUGGGCGUAAAGCGUGCGCAGGCGGUUUUGUAAGUCUGUCGUGAAAUCCCCGGGCUCAACCUGGGAAUUGCGAUGGAGACUGCAAGGCUAGAAUCUGGCAGAGGGGGUAGAAUUCCACGUGUGAGCAGUGAAAUGCGUAGAGAUGUGGAGGAACACCGAUGGCGAAGGCAGCCCCUGGGUCAAGAUGACGCUACAUGCACGAAGGCGUGGGAGCAACGAGAUAGAGACCUAAGAUGAUGUCCAGU
rnacentral:rRNA from 1 species